rnacentral:rRNA from 1 species
GAUAUGGCUCAGAUUGAACGCUGGCGGCGUGCUUAACACAUGCAAGUCGUACGCGAAAGGGACUUCGGUCCCGAGUAAAGUGGCGCACGGGUGAGUAACACGUGGAUAAUCUGCCUCUAUGAUGGGGAUAACAGUUGGAAACGACUGCUAAUACCGAAUACGCUCAUAAUGAACUUUAUGAGGAAAGGUGGCCUCUGCUUGCAAGCUAUCGCAUAGAGAUGAGUCCGCGU